GUUCCAACGUGUACUGUCCGCAGAGAACGUGUUUAACAACCACUCAGACCCAUUCAGCGUUUCGUAGCCAAAAUAAAAACAAAUAGAAUGUCACUGUUAUACUGAACAUUCCCGUGUUUUUCACCGCUCAUGCGAGCAGUAGAAGCGGUUUCGUGUUCCGUCUCCCCUCAGUGACCGCAGCUGGAGGUUGCGCUCAAAAUGGCUGGAGGAAAACAGUUAUGAAGAUCAGCCGUUUUGCAAGAUAUCUCCUCUGAUUAUGACCUCCGAAGCGGAGUGAAGACGAACCCUCCGGUCUCCCGGGGACUCGGGGGAGAGCUGAGAGGGAGGGACAGGCCCUGCACCCCCCCCCCCCCGCGGCACCCUGGGGGCAGAGUGAAGGAGGAGGCUGAAACACCCAUUAGACACCUCUUCCUGGGCCUUGUUUUGAAGGGCACGGUGUCGCGGCGCUGGAGAAGCUCUACCGGGGCCCGGCGUUGGCUCGGGGUGUGUCUGAGCUCAGCAUGUCUUCUUCAGCCUGCGUGGAAAUGAGUG
ensembl:lncRNA